UUUUAUAUUAGAAAUAAGGAUGGCACCCCGAUUAGUUCAGAACUGAGGCGUCAAAGAGUGAUUCAAUAAGUUAACAGAUGAAAGUGUUCUGAAGUAUAUUGAACAGUCAUUUGGUUGCAUUCACAAUGGAUGUUGUUUGGUCUGCGGAAGUUGUGCUGCAAUUUGGCAUACUUGUGAGCAGCUUGGAUUGGUGUAUGUUCAACUAGAAAUAAAGCUGACUGACAUGAUGUUCAUUUGAAUCCGCAAUUUUGUUUGAGGUUGAUGCUACCAUUUUGCAUUCUUUUUCAACAUGCUAGCUGUCACCCUGAGAAUUUCCACAUGAUAUUAUUGAUGCCAUUUAUAAAGACAUUAGUUAUUAUUCUUCAGUUUUUAAUCAGCACCUGUAUUUUGUUGGUCUAACUCAAUUGAUAUAACCAAUGUAAUUGCUUGGAUUUAUGAAGUUCGGUCUUAAAUUUAGAUUUUUUUUA